UACGGGAGGCAGCAGUGGGGAAUAUUGCACAAUGGGCGCAAGCCUGAUGCAGCCAUGCCGCGUGUAUGAAGAAGGCCUUCGGGUUGUAAAGUACUUUCAGUCGUGAGGAAGGUGUUAAGGUUAAUAACCUUAGCAAUUGACGUUAGCGACAGAAGAAGCACCGGCUAACUCCGUGCCAGCAGCCGCGGUAAUACGGAGGGUGCGAGCGUUAAUCGGAAUUACUGGGCGUAAAGGGCACGCAGGCGGUUAAUUAAGUUGGAUGUGAAAUCCCCGGGCUUAACCUGGGAAUGGCAUUCAAGACUGGUUAGCUAGAGUCUUGUAGAGGGGGUAGAAUUCCGAUGUGUAGCGGUGAAAUGCGUAGAGAUGUGGAGGAAUACCGGUGGCGAAGGCGGCCCCUGGACAAAGGCUGACGCUCAUGUGCGAAAGCGUGGGGAGCAAACG
rnacentral:rRNA from 1 species